UACGUCAGUACAGCAGACAGAUCAGAGAAGUCAGAAGUGCAGACCAGACUACAGAAUCAAAAUCACCUCAUUCGUCUUGUCUUUGCUCUUUGGGACGCUGCACGCUGUAAGUUAUGCUGGCUACGGUUUGUGUAUUAGUCAUGUCAGCGAACUUCAACAUUUUCCAUCGUGAAGAUAGAAAGUGCUGUCCGUAUGCUGAAAUGUCGUCUCGUACUACAUACUUCAUUGAAAUGGAUAUUUCAUUAAAUUUUCAUCCGUUUUCAUUUUGCUUCAACUAUAUACACUUCAUGGAUGUAAAACAGGUGUUGAUUAUUGCUGGCUGUAAAAUUUUGAAAAAAAGAAUUGUUAAAGUAUUUUUGAAAGAAAUCAUUAGCAUGCUAAUUUCAUUUUGUAACUACUGCUUAUUUCUGAAGCUAAAGCUAUUUUUUUCCCUUCAUUUUUUUUAAAGGUAGAUUAAUUCAAACUGUCGAAUAAUGUUGUUUGCUUCUCUAUGUGUAGAUGGUGAAAGGUGUGCUUGACUCGGAAUAAGCUGCUGUUGUCUCUGGUGUUGGUGAGUCUACAGUUACUCUGCUUACCUUCUUCACUUCUUUGGACAUGUUGUUGGCCUUCUUCGCAACACUCCUCAUCCAGCUUCAAUGCUGCUAAUGUUGCUGCACAACUUGUCCUACACUCCACUGACAAGUUGUACCACUUCAGUCCGCUGUUACUCACCAUGGGGAAUCACCCAGCAUCAAACGAAGUGUUACUUAUACGUAUCCUUUUUCCAACGCUAGUGGGUUUAUUACAGCGUUUGAUAAUUUUCAGCUGUCAAAUUACGACAAAUUACGACAACACCCACUAUUAAGAGACAAUGCCAAGCAUUGAAAAAGUUCUGCACAGAGUGACGUAAGAGUUGGAUAUCAACGAAAAGAUUGAAAACCAUUUACCCAUCACAAUCACAAAAAGUGAUUACCUCAAUUCUUUCCCCUUAUUGAGUGAUGCCCGAGCAGAAUUGUAACACUCCAGGUGAAAUUGAGCUCUUUGAAAAUUGGACAGCCAUGCCAAGGAUAAAUUCCUCUUUUUCCUGUACCGGCUGUACAUUUUGUAAGAAACACUUCAGAACUAUUCAGGAUUAUCAGUCUGGUAAAAGUAUGAGCUUCUUUGUUGCUGCCCAACAUACACAUGGAUUUUAUGCAGCCAGCUGAGGGCUUUAACUCUUUUUUUUAUGUUCGCGGAGUUGCUGUCCGCUGUGGUACGUUGUUGAAGCCUAUGCUGGUGAAAGAUCUUUCUACAUCAAGUUCAAUUGGCCGUUCCUUGGUGCUGAUGUUGUGUUACCAAAGUUGCAUUAUUAUUUUACGAAAUUGCCGUUGUGUCAAUGUAGUUUACCGUUAAUAUGUUUAGAAGGAACAAACAAGAAAUAUGGGGAUGUUUAUGUCAAACACGUAAUAAACAUAUUUUCGGGAUUGGGAAAGGAAAGUGGAGGAUGUUGGAAUGGGGGGAUAUUUAAAGUUUGGAUGAAAAACAGUUAAUUUCUAACCCUGCAAUCAUAUCCCUGCCAAUUUAUCUCAAAACCACAAUAACUUAUUAGACCUUCCAAUUCUUCACACCCCACAAACAUGCACCUACACCUAACAACCCUCAAAUUUAUACACUUUUACACUUUAUACACUUGUACCAUGUAAUAUUUGUAAAAAUAGAUAAA
rnacentral:lncRNA from 1 species